ensembl:lncRNA
AUAAAAUCUGUUGCUUAGUCUGUUAGUUUCAGGUAGACAUUCAAACAGUACAUGACCAGGGUGAGCUGGGUCUUGAAGGAUUCGAUUAAUGUUCUUGAGACAAUGGGAGCUGUGCAAUUUUUCAAGUGAGGGGAGAGGACAGCUGACUAUCUGCUAGGCCAGCGGUCCCCAACCUUUUUUGUGCCACGGACCAGUUUAUGUCCGACAAUAUUUUCACGGACUGGCCUUUAAGGUGUCGAGGAUAAAUACAACAAAAUAAAACCAGUACCGGUACCAAAAAAAGGAAGAUUUAUUCAUAACACACAGGGAAAGACCCAGGGUAACCCAGUUAACGAUAAAAAUGAUGAAAAAAAAAGAAGAUAAAACUGAUAAAAACCAUGAAAACCAUAAACUUCACACCUGAGUCUCAACUCUCGCGGCUAGGUACCAAAUGACUCACGGACCGGCCCCGGCAGCGAUAAGAGGACACCAACAGUUUCUCAGGGAUGUUGUUCUGUCUGAGAACCCUCAGAAAGUAGUUUCUUUCUUUCUUUCUUUCUUUCUUUCUUUCUUUCCAACCUCAGUAGUGUGUGUUUGGCAAGUCUGGUCCUUCCUGCUAUUGACUCCCAAGAAGCAGAAGUCUGAGACUCUUGCCAUACAGACCCUGUUGAUGGUGACUGGCAGGAUGUCAUCUGCAACAAGUUCCUUGGUCUUUACGGUGUUCAGGAGCAAGUUGUUGUCCACGCUGUCAGCCACUGGGCCAUAGGCAGAUGCAUCCCCCCCAGAAAUUUGUCCUCAGGCUACAAUCAGUCUUACGGUCAGUAAGACUAAAAUAGUGCUUCUACUUAGAAAAAUCCAACAUUUCACUUCCUUAGUCACUUCCUCAUUUUAUGUUCCACUUCUAUUUUUAUUUAAAAGGGAGUUGUUCCAUCUUUGCUGGAUUGCUCUGCUCGUUUCUCUGCUGGAGAAACUCUUGCUGGAGAGCAGUGGGCUGGUUUGUGUUCUUAGAAGAGAAUCUGUGUGGACUUGUGGAAAACACUAACUUGUAGUGGUCAAUAACAAAAAUACAACUCAAUACUUUGUAACAUAACCUUUGUUGGCAAUAACAGAGGUCAAACGUUUACUAUAGGUCUUUACCAGGUUUGCACACACAGUAGCUGGUAUUUUGGCCCAUUCCUCCAUGCAGAUCUUCUCGAGAGCAGUGGGGUCAUUCUUACUAUUCGGUGCCA